AAACAACACUGGAACAAGCCUGCCUGGCAAGAAGCUGAACUCAACCACAGGCAGGCACAACAGGAUUGAUCAGAGCCACCGUCCUCUAGCUUCACUCUUCUUUAUCAUGCAGAAGAGAUGAAAUACAUGAGCAGACUGGCUACAUGAAUCUUGGGGCUCUUAUUCAAACAACGCAGGAGGAACCAAGUGGUGCCUUAAAGUUCUUCAAGAAAGAAUAUUCGCUCUCAUUCAUGUGUGUAUCAGCCUUUAUUAUCGAUGAACAGGGACGCCAUUCAGAUUUCAUCUGCUGACACACUUGGGCAUCCUUGGAGAAGCUGGGAGGCAAUGUAUGGAGCCAUCCACAUGGGGCUCAGCAGUUCCCUGGGCUUUCUCAUUCUCCCAUUUCCUGCCCUGCCUUCGCAAGUUUCUACAGAGUCGCAACCAGGAGAGACAGAACAGAGCAGAGAAAUACGGAAAGAAAAGGAACUGCUUAUCAAGAUAUCAUUUUUGAUUCCAAGGUCUUAUCCUCUUUUGAAAAAUGCAGCAGGGGAA
ensembl:lncRNA